rfam:Aureobasidium pullulans var. pullulans EXF-150 unplaced genomic scaffold scaffold_94, whole genome shotgun sequence.
GGUUCUAUAGCUUAGUAGUAGAGCACCUAUCUAGUAUAGACUAGUAUGGUGUUACCUAUUUAGUAGUACUAUAGUGGUCGGUAGGAGAUCCUAGGUUCAAUUCCUAGUAGAACUA